rnacentral:rRNA from 1 species
GACGAACGCUGGCGGCGUGCCUAAUACAUGCAAGUAGAACGCUGAAGAGAGGAGCUUGCUCUUCUUGGAUGAGUUGCGCACGGGUGAGUAACGCGUAGGUAACCUGCCUGGUAGCGGGGGAUAAAUAUUGGAAACGAUAGCUCAUACCGCAUGAAAUUGCUUAUCGCAUGAUGAUUGAUUGAAAGAUGCAAUUGCAUCACUAGCAGAUGGACCUGCGUUGUAUUAGCUAGUUGGUGAGGUAACGGCUCACCAAGGCGGCGAUACAUAGCCGACCUGAGAGGGUGGUCGGCCACCACAGGAGGGAGACACGGCCCAUAAGCCUACGAGAGGCAGCAGUAGGGAAGCUUCGGCAAUGGGGGGAACCAUGACCGAGCAGCGCCGCGUGAGGGAAGAAGGUGUUCGGAUCGUAAAGCUCUGCUGUAAGAGAAGAACGGGUGUGAGAGUGGAAAGUGCACGUUGGGACGGAAUCGGACCAGAAAGGCACGGCUAACUACUU